ACACCUCAACCCAAAUCCGCAGCGCGCCUCGCUCUGCUCGUCCUACUUCAGGGAGCUGCACAAAGGCUCCUUUCUCCUGCUCCGUGGUGGCAGCCGAGCACGGCACAGUUCUGCUGGGACACGUGCCGCAUCCUUUGCUGUUCCGUCCUGGCCUCACGCAGGUUGGUCGGUGCUAGGCUUGACCUUUAGCCAAAGUGCAGUUUUUGCGGGUAUCUGCAGCUACUUUUUCAGAACAGAGAUCAGUUGCUGAGCAUGCCUCUCUUCUGACAGCAGGGUACUAUUUCUGAUACUGCUCUGGGGAAACAACUCAAAUGUGUGGAGAGAGAGCUGGCGGCGGCGCAGUCAGAGGAGCUGCAUUGCCUUAAGACACCAGGCUACAAGCACCACCAGAGCUGAGCCUGUCUGGCGAUUUCUCAGCCUCCACCAGCAAAGUCAAACACCGCAGGAAAUGCCUUCCGCUCUGCAGGCGUCUCCAGCACCCCCACUCCCACUCCGUGAUCAAAGCUUCCCCUCGUCUCCUUUUAUCAUUUUAACAUGCUCUAGACUUCCUGCCUUCUCCACUGCAGCGCAUGCCCAGAGCCACCUGCCAGCCGAGCGCACCUCGAGCUCCCUGCGGGAGCCCCUGCUGACUACGUGGGAGAGUCAGAG